AUGGGGAUGGGCCGGGAGCUGAGGCUCCGGCAUCGGUCAGAGCGCAGGGAGAGGACUGGGGUUGGCGGCGUGAACGCAGCCUGAAGGGGGUUAGUGCACCACGGCUAGCCGGGAG